rnacentral:rRNA from 1 species
GGCUUGAGUACGUCAGAGGAAAGCGGAAUUCCUGGUGUAGCGGUGAAAUGCGUAGAUAUCAGGAGGAACACCGGUGGCGAAAGCGGCUUUCUGGGACGUUACUGACGCUGAGGCUCGAAAGCGUGGGGAGCGAACGGGAUUAGAUACCCCGGUAGUCCACGCCGUAAACUUUGUGCACUAGGUGUGGGAGGCGUCGACCCCUUCCGUGCCGAAGCUAACGCAUUAAGUGCACCGCCUGGGGAGUACGGCCGCAAGGCUGAAACUCAAAGGAAUUGACGGGGGCCCGCACAAGCGGUGGAGCAUGUUCUUUAAUUCGAUGCAACGCGAAGAACCUUACCCAGGCUUGACAUCCCGCGCUACCCUUGGAAACAAGGGGUUCCCUUCGGGGACGCGGUGACAGGUGUUGCAUGGCUGUCGUCAGCUCGUGUCGUGAGAUGUUGGGUUAAGUCCCGCAACGAGCGCAACCCUUAUCCCUAGUUACCAGCGGUUCGGCCGGGCACUCUAGGGAGACUGCCGGUGAUAAACCGGAGGAAGGUGGGGAUGACGUCAAGUCAGCAUGGCCCUUAUGUCUGGGGCUAGAAACGUGCUACAAUGGCCGGUACAAAGGGCUGCGAGAUCGCGAGAUCGAGCCAAUCCCAAAAAACCGGUCUCAGUUCGGAUUGUAGUCUGCAACUCGACUGCAUGAAGCUGGAAUCGCUAGUAAUCGCGUAUCAGCCACGACGCGCGAAUACGUUCCCGGGCAUGUACACACCGCCCGUCACGUGACCUGAGUCGGGUGGAGCUGACGUCGCUGACCCAACCCGCAAGGGAGGGAGGCGCAUAAGCUCCGUCCGG